UACGGGGGGGGCAAGCGUUGUUCGGAUUCAUUGGGCGUAAAGGGUGUGUAGGUGGCGCCGUAAGUCGGGUGUGAAAUUUCGGAGCUUAACUCCGAAACUGCAUUCGAUACUGCGGUGCUUGAGGACUGGAGAGGAGACUGGAAUUCAUGGUGUAGCAGUGAAAUGCGUAGAGAUCAUGAGAAAGACCAGUGGCGAAGGCGGGUCUCUGGACAGUUCCUGACACUGAGACACGAAGGCCAGGGGAGCAAACGGG
rnacentral:rRNA from 1 species